CAGCAGCCGCGGUAAUACGUAGGGUGCAAGCGUUAUCCGGAAUUAUUGGGCGUAAAGGGCUCGUAGGCGGUUCGUCGCGUCCGGUGUGAAAGUCCAUCGCUUAACGGUGGAUCCGCGCCGGGUACGGGCGGGCUUGAGUGCGGUAGGGGAGACUGGAAUUCCCGGUGUAACGGUGGAAUGUGUAGAUAUCGGGAAGAACACCAAUGGCGAAGGCAGGUCUCUGGGCCGUUACUGACGCUGAGGAGCGAAAGCGUGGGGAGCGAACAGGAUUAGAUACCCUGG
rnacentral:rRNA from 1 species